rnacentral:rRNA from 1 species
UCAGGAGGAACACCGGGGGCGAAGGCGACGGCCGGGACCAAGACGGACGCUGAGGCGCGAAGGCAUGGGGAGCAAACAGGAGGAGAGACCCGGGGAGGCCACGCAGGAAACGGGGAGCACGAGGGGGAGCGGGGAUGGACCCCGGCGGGGCCGGAGGGAACGCAGGAAGGGAGCCGCCUGGGGAGGACGGCCGCAAGGGGUAAACGCAAAGGAAGGGACGGGGGCCCGCACAAGCGGUGGAGCAGUGUGGUUUAAGGCGACGCGACGCGAAGAACCGGACCGGGAGGGGACAGCGCGGGAAGUCCCGCGGAAACGCGGGAGGGCCCGGCGGGGAGCCCGAAGACAGGGGCGGCAGGGCGUGGUCGGUCAGCGCGGGGUCGGGAGAUGGGUGGGUGUAAGGUCCCGCAACGAGCGCAACCCCGAGCGGCAGGGACCAGCGAGGAAAGGUCGGGGACGCGUGGAGAGUACGGCCCCGGGCAACGGGGAGGAAGGGUGGGGAGUGACGGCAAGGCCGCAGGGCCGGGAGGGCCAGGGCGACACACGGGCGACAAGGGGCGGGACAGAGGGAAGCGAGUCGUCGCGAGGGGGAGCCAAGUCCCAAAAAGCAGGCCGUCAGGGUCGGAGGGGAGGUCGGCAACGUGACGCCAGUGAAGCGGGAAGUCGNGUAGGAAGUCGCGGAGCAGCAGUGCCGCGGGGAACUACGGGUCCCGGGCCGUGGACACACCGCCCGGCACACCAGUGAGAGGUUGCGUGACCAGAAGGUGGUGGGCCAACCACGCCGUUUGCGUGGGGGCAGGCGC